rnacentral:rRNA from 1 species
AUUGAACGCUGGCGGGAGGCCUAACACAUGCAAGUCGAGCGGAGUGGCGGACGGGUGAGUAAUGUAUGGGGACCUGCCCGAUAGAGGGGGAUAACUACUGGAAAAGGUGGCUAAUACCGCAUACUAUCGGAUGAACCGAUAUGGGAUUAGCUAGUUGGGGGGGUAAAGGCUCACAAAGGCAACGAUCCAUCGCUGGUUUGAGAGGAUGAUCAGCCACACGGGGACUGAGACACGGCCCAGACUCCUACGGGAGGCAGCAGUGGGGAAUAUUGGACAAUGGGGGAAAGCCUGAUGCAGCCAUCCCGCGUGUAUGAAGAAGGCCUUCGGGUUGUAAAGUACUUUUGGCAGAGAAGCGGUACCUGCAGAAUAAGCACCGGCUAACUACGUGCCAGCAGCCGCGGUAAUAC